rnacentral:tRNA from 1 species
GGGAGUGUGGUGAAAUGGUAAACACAUUGUAUUUAGAAUCCAAUUUUUACAGGUUCAACUCCUGUCGCUCUUA